UCCGGUGGCUAUAGCGAGAGGGAAACACCUCUUCCCAUUCCGAACAGAGCCGUUAAGCCUCUCAGCGCCGAUGGUACUUGGCCCGCAAGGGCCUGGGAGAGUAGGACGCCGCCGGUU
rfam:Conexibacter woesei DSM 14684, complete genome.